UACGUAGGCAGCAAGCGUUGUUCGGAGUUACUGGGCGUAAAGGGUGCGUAGGCGGCUUCUUAAGUCUGGUGUGAAAUCUCCCGGCUCAACUGGGAAGGUGCGCCGGAUACUGAGGGGCUAGAGUGUGGGAGAGGAAAGUGGAAUUCCUGGUGUAGCGGUGAAAUGCGUAGAUAUCAGGAGGAACACCGGUGGUGUAAACGGCUUUCUGGACCAUAACUGACGCUGAGGCACGAAAGCGUGGGUAGCAAACAGG
rnacentral:rRNA from 1 species